CAGGAUUAGAUACCCUGGUAGUCCACGCUGUAAACGAUGAGUGCUAAAUGUGAGGAUUUUAUCUUUGUAUUGUAGCUAACGCGUUAAGCACUCCGCCUGGGGACUACGGUCGCAAGACUAAAACUCAAAGGAAUUGACGGGGACCCGCACAAGCGGUGGAGCAUGUGGUUUAAUUCGAUGCAACGCGAAAAACCUUACCACUUUUUGACAUGAAGGUCGUAUCCCUCCUAACAGGGGGAGUCAGUUCGGCUGGACCUUACACAGGUGCUGCAUGGCUGUCGUCAGCUCGUGUCGUGAGAUGUUGGGUUAAGUCCCGCAACGAGCGCAACCCUCAUUCUUAGUUACCAACAGGUAAUGCUGGGCACUCUAAGGAAACUGCCAGUGAUAAACUGGAGGAAGGUGGGGAUGAUGUCAAGUCAGCACGGCCCUUAUAAGGUGGGCUACACACGUGCUACAAUGGCAACUACAAUAGGUCGCGAGAUCGCAAGAUUUAGCUAAUCCAUAAAAGUUGUCUCAGUUCGGAUUGUUCUCUGCAACUCGAGAGCAUGAAGUCGGAAUCGCUAGUAAUCGUGGAUCAUCAUGCCACGGUGAAUACGUUCUCGGGUCUUGUACACACUGCCCGUCACGCCAUGGGAAUUGGCUU
rnacentral:rRNA from 1 species